GGGGAUAAUAGCAAGGAUGGCUUCCAGAGGCCCUGACAGGAGGAGUUGCUGGUGGACUGGAGAAAGGGACAGAGGGAGAAGAGCCCCAAUUUCCAGGCCUGGUGAUGAGAAGCCCAUGAAGGCUCAGCCUCCUUGACCUGUCCUCUGGAGGGCGCAGGGCCUCAGGGCAGGGCUGAUGUGUUUCAGGGCUCCCAUGUGACCCGGUGGCCCGGCGUCUACCUGCUCCAGUGGCAAAUGCACAGCCCCCCCAGCAGCGUGGCCUGCAGCCUCCCGGGUGUGGACGAUGUCCUGACGGCUCUGCACAGCCCCGGGCCCAAGUGCAAACUUCUCUACUACUGUGAGGUGCUCGCCUCUGAGGACUUCAGUCAUUUCACCCUCUCCCUGGUUUGGUAACUGAAGCCUUCUGAAAUGAACCAGUGUCAGGCUCCAGUGAGGACUCCAUCCCCAAUUCAGGAAGCACAGAGGUGGAGCAUAAUCCCCCCAAUUUGUUUAUGUGCGGCUGACUUCUCUCAAGAUGGUGU
ensembl:lncRNA novel transcript